rnacentral:rRNA from 1 species
UGGCGGCGAUAGCGCGGUGGUCCCACCUGACCCCAUGCCGAACUCAGAAGUGAAACGCCGUAGCGCCGAUGGUAGUGUGGGGUUUCCCCAUGUGAGAGUA